UUGGAGGGCAAGUCUGGUGCCAGCAGCCGCGGUAAUUCCAGCUCCAAUGGCGUAUAUUAAAGUUGUUGCAGUUAAAAAGCUCGUAGUUGAACCUCGGGGUCUACCCAUUGGUCAGGCUUAAUUGUCUGCACUGGUGAGAUGGACCUCUACCUUCUGAGGAACUUUCAUGCCAUUCAUUUGGUGUGAUGGGAAAUCAGGACUGUUACUUUGAAAAAAUUAGAGUGUUUAAAGCAGACUAUCGUCUGAAUACAUUAGCAUGGAAUAAUGAAAUAGGACGGACUGAUUCUAUUUCGUUGGUUUCUAGGAUCACCGUAAUGAUUAAUAGGGAUAGUUGGGGGCAUUAGUAUUCAAUUGUCAGAGGUGAAAUUCUUGGAUUUAUUGAAGACUAACUACUGCGAAAGCAUUUGCCAAGGAUGUUUUCAUUAAUCAAGAACGAAAGUUAGGGGAUCGAAGACGAUCAGAUACCGUCGUAGUCUUAACCAUAAACUAUGCCGACUAGGGAUCGGACGAAGUUAAUUUUAUAAUGACGCGUUCGGCGCCUUACGGGAAAC
rnacentral:rRNA from 1 species